rnacentral:rRNA from 1 species
GUGGGGAAUAUUGGACAAUGGGCGCAAGCCUGAUCUAGCCAUGCCGCGUGAGCGAUGAAGGCCUUAGGGUUGUAAAGCGCUUUCAGGGGGGAAGAUAAUGACGGUACCCCCAGAAGAAGCCCCGGCUAACUCCGUACCAGCAGCCGCGGUAAUACGGAGGGGGCUAGCGUUGUUCGGAAGUACUGGGCGUAAAGCGCACGUAGGCGGACCAGAAAGUCAGGGGUGAAAUCCCGGGGCUCAACCCCGGAACUGCCUUUGAAACUCCUGGUCUUGAGGUCGAGAGAGGUGAGUGGAAUUCCGAGUGUAGAGGUGAAAUUCGUAGAUAUUCGGAGGAACACCAGUGGCGAAGGCGGCUCACUGGCUCGAUACUGACGCUGAGGUGCGAAAGCGUGGGGAGCAAACAGGAUUAGAAACCCGGGUAGUCC